rnacentral:snoRNA from 1 species
GGAGGAGACUGAUGAUGGAACCGUCUGAUACGCCGCCCCCCGCCGGCGCCGACGGUGCCUCCAAGGUCGUCGUCACUCCUGCUCAUCUCUCUCCGCGUAGUCAUCUACCUCUCUCUGUCACUCACUCGCUCACUCACUCUUGCGCCUGAUUUGCUUC